AGAGUUUGAUCAUGGCUCAGAACGAACGCUGGCGGCGUGGAUAAGACAUGCAAGUCGGACGAGAUUUCGUCCUGUAGCAAUAUGGGAUGAGGUCUAGUGGCGAACGGGUGCUUAACACGUGGGCAACCUGCCGAGAAGUGGGGGAUAGCUCGCCGAAAGGCGAAUUAAUACCGCAUGUGAUCAGAGAGGACAUCCUUUCGAAAUUAAAGCUGGGGCAACCUAGCGCUUCUUGUGGGGCCCGCGGCCUAUCAGCUAGUUGGUGAGGUAACGGCUCACCAAGGCUUUGACGGGUAGCUGGUCUGAGAGGACGACCAGCCACACUGGGACUGAGACACGGCCCAGACACCUACGGGUGGCAGCAGUCGAGAAUUUUUCUCAAUGGGGGAAACCCUGAAGGAGCGACGCCGCGUGGAGGAUGAAGGUCUUCGGAUUGUAAACUCCUGUCAUUGGGGAACAAGGUGCAUACGUUAACUGCGUGUGCAUUGAUAGUACCCGAAGAGGAAGAGACGGCUAACUCUGUGCCAGCAGCCGCGGUAAUACAGAGGUCUCAAGCGUUGUUCGGAUUCAUUGGGCGUAAAGGGUGCGUAGGCGGCGCGGUAAGUCGGGUGUGAAAUCUUGGAGCUUAACUCCGAAACUGCAUUCGAUACUGCCGUGCUUGAGGACUGGAGAGGAGACUGGAAUUUACGGUGUAGCGGUGAAAUGCGUAGAUAUCGUAAGGAAGACCAGUGGCGAAGGCGGGUCUCUGGACAGUUCCUGACGCUGAGGCACGAAGGUCAGGGGAGCAAACGGGAUUAGAUACCCCAGUAGUCC
rnacentral:rRNA from 1 species